rnacentral:rRNA from 1 species
GAGGGACCUGCGUCCCAUCAGCUAGUUGGUGAGGUAACGGCCCACCAAGGCGACGACGGGUAGGGGACCUGAGAGGGUGGCCCCCCACAAUGGAACUGAAACACGGUCCAUACACCUACGGGUGGCAGCAGUAGGGAAUAUUGCUCAAUGGGCGAAAGCCUGAAGCAGCAACGCCGCGUGUGCGAUGAAGGCCUUCGGGUCGUAAAGCACUUUUCUGGGAGAUGAGAAAGGACAGUAUCUCAGGAAUAAGUCUCGGCUAACUACGUGCCAGCAGCCGCGGUAAAACGUAGGAGGCAAGCGUUAUCCGGAUUCACUGGGCGUAAAGCGCGUGCAGGCGGUUCGGUAAGUUGGGCGUGAAAUCUCCUGGCUUAACUAGGAGAGGUCGUUCAAUACUACCGGACUUGAGAAUGAUAGAGGAAGAUGGAAUUCCCGGUGUGGUGGUGAAAUGCGUAGAUAUCGGGAGGAACACCAGUGGCGAAAGCGAUCUUCUGGGUCAUUUCUGACGCUCAGACGCGAAAGCUAGGGUAGUAAACGGGAUUAGAG